rnacentral:sRNA from 2 species
AUUCUUCCGAUGCAGGGAAGGAUGAGAAGCUUCGACUAAGGUUCGAUUCGAGCGCAGCGAGAAAGCGUUGCCGCAGGCAACGACCCGAAGGGCGAGGCGCAGCCGAGUUAUCCUUCCCCCACCACCA